rnacentral:rRNA from 1 species
UACGGGGGGGGGCAAGCGUUGUUCGGAAUUACUGGGCGUAAAAGGCUCGUAGGCGGCCAACUAAGUCAGACGUGAAAUCCCUCGGCUUAACCGGGGAAUGGCGUCUGAUACUGGAUGGCUUGAAUCCGGGAGAGGGAUGCGGAAUUCCAGGUGUAGCGGUGAAAUGCGUAGAUACCUGGAGGAACACCGGUGGCGAAGGCGGCAUCCUGGACCGGCAUUGACGCUGAGGAGCGAAAGCCAGGGGAGCAAACGGG